GGAGAUCUCUUCUCUGGAGUUUUAUAGUGAGUUAAGGAUGCAGGCUGGUGCUAGGUCUGCUCUUCAGCUUACUUUUCUGCUUCAUGAGCUACAUCCUUGGGCUGUAUCUCCAUAUGGAAUGGAAGUGUCUGAAGGCUCAAGAUAGUGCAGGAAGCUGCAUCGUGCGUAGGAUCUCAAAGUUGGCAAAAGAAGAUCAUGACAACAUCAAAGAUAUUUGGAGUUUAUUCAAAUGUCAUUAAAUGCAAGAUUUGUCACCUUUAGGUUCUACAAAGUGACUUCUGAAGUACUGUAGAGGAUUGCACACAUGAGAACUGCCUUGUGAAUAAAAUAAUUCAACAGACAAAAAUCUCACAAAAAUAUUGAAGUGAUUUAUUUAAAGUUGUUACUCACAGACUUUAUGUAGUUUUUUAUAUGGCAUAGAAUCUUGAUUAAAUAUUGUUACUGUCUAAGUCAUUAAACUCUUGAAAUAUAAAUUAAGAGUCUUUUCCCAUGUUGGAUGCACCUGGUUCCAGCUGACUUCAAUGACCUCACCUUAUGGCAUGGCUAGGCCUUGUAGCCAAGAUUGAAGUGCCUUUGGGAAAAUUUAAGAAAGGGUAAAAAUGCUUCACAGACAGGGAGGAAGGGAAGAAAAAGUGAGAAACAGAGCAAACAACAAGGGCACAGAAGAAGGGAGAAAAUAUUGUUUUAAUAUUUGUUUCUAAUACCCUAAUCUUAAUCAUCAAUAAAUUUUGUCCAAAUUUGGACUCUUUUAUCCACAAUAGUAACUUGUAAACUCUCUUUGUGUCUUUUCUUAAACUAUGUGAGUUUAAUACUAUUUUCUCCCCACUGUUCUGCUGAUAAUAAGAAAUGGGUGAGCAGCUGGGUGGGCUAAGCUAUUGUUAGUGUCAGUGUUUCCAGAUACAA